rnacentral:rRNA from 1 species
UACGAAGGGGACUAGCGUUGUUCGGAAUCACUGGGCGUAAAGCGCACGUAGGCGGAUUCGUAAGUCAGGGGUGAAAUCCCGGGGCUCAACCUCGGAACUGCCUUUGAUACUGCGGGUCUUGAGUCCGAUAGAGGUGGGUGGAAUUCCUAGUGUAGAGGUGAAAUUCGUAGAUAUUAGGAAGAACACCGGUGGCGAAGGCGGCCCAAUGGAUCGGUACUGACGCUGAGGUGCGAAAGCGUGGGGAGCAAACAGG